GAAUAGUAAGUGGGUUAGUCGUGGGGUUUUCUCGAGUUUCCGCUGCAGUAUUUGGAAAGAAGUGGAACCUCUUGUCUUUCUCAUUGGAACUGUGAAUUUUAAAAUUUUCAGAUUCUUAAGUAAAUAUCAUAUUCUUGCAAAUUGUAUUAGAUUAGGUAAGAUUCAGGGAUCUGUAAUACAGAGGGACUGGCAAACAGGAGGUAAUUCUCAUAGAAGGAGCCAAGAAUCACGAUAUGAUAAAGUUGCUGACGGAUCGUGGUGACAAUUCUUAUUUUAUGCUGAGGAGGAGAACUUUUAGAUAGAAUAAUACUAUCCAGGGGUGGGAAGUAUUCAGAAGAAGAUGCCGUCAUGGUUCAGAUUCUUAAUGUUGUUGCGUUCUUUCAUCUUCAAGGUGUUGUUCAUCAUAACCUCAAACCAGAGGUAGUUCCCUCAUUCUUAAUAUUCCAGUCUGAGAUUUCCAUAGUAUUUCUUUGUUCCUGGCCAUAACCUCCGAGAAAACAUCCUCUCAAGUGGUGUUUAAGUGAAAUAAGGUGCAGACCCUGUUGUUGUUGCAAGCGAUGGAAAGGUGACAACUUACCCUAUUAUCCCUCUAUCAAUGGGAAGAUUAUGUUUAUAGUCUUUGUUUACAGAGAAUUUGUAUUCCCUUAGAACAAAAGAACUCAUUAAGUCUUUCAAAUAAAUCUACUUAACAAAAUUUGUAUUCCCUUAGAACUUGGGAAUUCUCCAGGAUAUGAAUUGAUUGAAUAUA